rnacentral:lncRNA from 1 species
AGGGAGCGGCCCAAGAAAUGGCAAAAAGAUAAAAAAUAAAUAAAAAAUAAAAUAAUAAUUCAGUUAUUAAUUGGACAAGAUGUAUUCUAAAGGUCCGUGUAUUCUACAAGCACUUUCAAAUCCAUCCCCCUUUCCAACUCUUUAAUUCUGUGGAAUUUUUUUUUUUAGAUGUUUUUUGGGUUUUUUUGUCUGUCUUUUUAGGGCCGCACUUGCGGUGGCAUACAGAGGUUCCCAGGCUAGGGGUCUAAUCGCAGCUACGGCUGCCGGCCUACGCCACGGCCACAGCAACAUGGGAUUCGAGCCGCGUCUGUGUCCUACUGCUGGAUCCUUAACCCAAUGAGCGAGGCCAGGGAUAGAACCCACAAUCUCAUGGUUCCUAGUCGAAUUCGAUUCUGCUGCACCCUGACUGGAACUCCACAGCUUCCUCUUAAAGGCAGCAAUUCUCCAAAUUUGGUGUGGACAAGAUUCAUCAUCUGAUGGACUUAGUUUAAAAAGCAGAUUCUAGGCUCCAUUUCUAGAGAAGCAGAUGAAGCAGGUGUGGGAUGGGGUCAGGGGAGCUGCAUGAGAACAAUGGUAUACAAGUGAUUCUGAUACAGACCCUGGAAAACACUGUGUUCAAGGUCUCAGCAGAGCCAAGGAUCAGACUCCAACUAUCGCUUUCUAGACUGUGGUUUUAUCUGUCUUAUUCCCAUUGUUCAUUCUGUGUUGUUGUUGUUUCACAAGAUUAAAAGUAUGAAUAUUUCCUGGGAGUUUCUGCCAUGGCACAGUGGGUUAAGAACCUGACUACAGUGGCCCAGGCCAGUGUGAAGGUGCAGGUUUGAUCACCAGCCCAGUGGGUUAAAGGACCCACUGUUGCUGCAGCUGCAGUGUUGGUCACAGCUGUGGCUCAGAUUCAAUCUGUGACCCGGGAACUUCCAUAUGCUGUGGCUGUGGCCAUAAAAUAAAAUAAAACAAAAAUUUUUUUUAAGUAUGACUAUUUCCUGAAUGGAAUUGACCCCCUCUGAGCCAGAGCCAAUGAGUUAGGGACAUGCACAUUGCCCAACCUGGGCCAAUCAGAUGCUUUAAAUUCUUCCCCCAUGAAUCUGGACUAAGACCUGGUAAAAUCACAUUGUGUUCAAGCUUAACUAAUACAAAGGCAACUACCGGAGCUUGGAAGAGGAAGCGGGGAAAAGAAAGCACAUUUAUUAAUAGUGAAAAUUAUGAGCAAAUAUGCCUUGAAGCAGCAGAAGCUGAAAACCUGACAUUCCCUUAGUGGGUCUCUGUUCUUACAUGCCCCACAGACACUGAGCAUUUCUCCUCACUAAACCAUUCAUCUCCAGGACUUUCAAAGAAAACUUGAACCAUUCACAAUUUUCACCUGAUACACUGACAUCAGAGCCUACUAACCUCUGGGCCUGGUGCAAUUUCACAAACUAAGAACAUAGCAGGUCCAGUGAGAGUCAGGGCCAGCAGGCUGCGGCCUAAGAAACACAGAGCAAGUCUGCAGAGAGGACGAUGCAAAGCAAAGCCCAGAGAGCAACAAAGAUGAGAAGAGGACUGGGGGCCAGAGUUCCUGAUAAUUCUGCUGCUGGGUUCUGCUCCCUUCGGAGAGAUACCCACAUUCCAGGGGGAAGCUGGUAUCUUCCCAAAAAACACGAGGCUUCCUGCUCUCCUCCCCUCUCUCUCUGGUUUACCUGCUAGCUACUUGAACCUCCAAAGCUCCCAGCAAGAACAGUGAGUAGACAGGCUUAAAAAACACAGAAUCCUUGUCCCCAAGUCUCAGGAAUCAAGGGUGACCUCUGGGGGCAGUCCCAAUGGGCCAUGUGUAGAGUGUCAAAACAGGCUUCAGGGAGAGCAAGACGACGCACGGCCGAGACACAAGAGGGGGUGACACUCAGAGAGAAGACGCCUUUUCCCCCCCAAGGACUCUGGUCCCCAACUUUCCCUAUACAUUCCAUGACUCUCAAUCAUCCCAACAAAUCUGCUGCUGUUCCUUAAAACCCAGCCAGCCUUCCAAGGAUUAUUUUUGAAAUAUUUCAGGCCCAAGGAAGGAAAGUUUCUGGACUCUGCCUAAUUCGCAGGCAGCCAAGGAAUUGCGAAAGGAUGUAACUCACACAUGCUUAUCAUCCCUUACCCAACUGCUGAAGUGACCAGGGUCUCCACCACCACUAGUCGCCCUGGCCUGGCACGUGGCAGGGUCUGCUUUGGAGACACUCUGACUUUUCGUACAUAACACAGUUGCAAACUACUUGGAACAGAGAGUACACUGAAGGCGGAAGGACUCUUCUCUCAACCAUGUAAUGAGUCAUAAAUACAGAGCUUACAUUAAUCACUUAAGCACUUCUAAAUUCUUUUCUUUCUGCUUCUUUUUAUUUAUUAGUUUUUUGGUGGGGGGAGGGGAGGGUUGCUGCUCUUAGAAGAGUCUAGAAAGCUUAGAUCCUAGAAGAAAAUCCUUGCAUGUAAAACAAGGGUGUUUGAGAAAUGAAGUGAAUCCUUGCCCAGCGUAACAGAGCUUUAGGCCAUCGUGUGGGAAAGGUGCUCUGGUCCCAUGUAACACGUUCCUAGUGUGUCAUCAUGAAAGCCCAUGGUGAGGACGGCGUACCUCUGGGAGUGACAGAGGAUGGAAGAGAUGGAGAAGGCCCCCCAUAGACCGUCCCAUUCUCCCCAAGAGCAGCACGUGUGGUAGGCAUGAUGGUCAGGCAGACGGAAAAGUGACCACAUCCCGCUCCACCCCCGUCCCCUGCCUCUUGCCCACGUGACCCCGUGGAAGGAUGGCCUGGCACAGAUCCAAGGGCAAGAGCCACACGGAGGGAAAGGCCAGCGCAAGGCUUAGUACAAGCUGGAGAGAAACGUCUAGAUGGAAGGUGCCCCUGGGGUUUUCACUUCCCUGGAGGUCCUAACCAAGUUCUGGGCACUAAAUGAAACAAAGAGGCUCUAACAAAGAGUCACUGCACAGGGUGGAAAUGGUGCACAGCCAACCGGCUUGCCGAAAGACGGGUGAUAAGGGGAGAGCACGGCAGCCAGCGAGGCGGACACGGUUCCAGCUGGAUUGAGGGUCAAAAGGUGGCUGAGGCAUCGCCUUCCCAGAAGAAGUGAGUCACGAGGAAAGUCUGAAAGGGAGGCAAGGUGGCGGGUUUGUUUUUCCCGAAGCCCGGUGUGGGUAUUGGCUUAGCAAUAUGGAAAAGAGCAUUAGGAGGGGAUAAAGGAAAUGGCCAUGCCAGCGUCAGAGGAGGAUGCGAGAUACCUGAGGGCGCCAGGGACGGGGAGGGGCAGGCAGGGAAGCAGGAGGGGGUCAAGCACAGCCAGAAGGGGCUGGGCGGCCCUGAUGGAUCUGAGGGCGCUGGCAGGAAGGUGGUGCACAGCAGCUUAAGAGGAGGGGCUCUCGAACCAAACGGGGUCACAGCCUAGCCUUGUGUGACUUGCUUCAGCCACUGAAACUCCCAACUGCUUCACUGGUGAAAAAGGGCAAGAAACAAUCAUACCUCCCUCAAGAGGCUACUGCAACUUAUUUAAAGUUUCCCGGGAUGGGGUCAGCAAACGACCAGCCCCACGGCCAAAUCUUUCUGACCCUGUGCUUUCUGCAGCCUGCACGCUAGGGACAACUUCUACAUUCUUACGUGGUGAGGAAAAAUUAAAAUAAUAUUUCAUGACGUGAGAAAAUUGUAUGAAAUGGACAUCUCAGUGUCUGCCAAAAAAGUUCUAUCAGAACUCAGCCACACACCCACACAUUUAGUCUAUGCCCCUCUAAUGCUACAAAGGCGAAACUGAGAGACUGGAGAGACUCCAAAGCCGGCAAAGCCUAAAAUAUUGACUAUUUGGCUCUUUACAGGCUCCUUUGCUGGCCCCUUUCUGAUGGGAAGUAGUCCACACCUGUUAAAUGAACCUCACUUCAUAAGUAAGGAAAUCCAGAGAGAUACUAAAAUCCUUUUAUUCGGAUAUACUUCACAUACCAUAAAAUUCCCUGUUAUAAAUGGUACAGCUGAAUGUUUUCUUGUAUAUUCAGAGCUGUGAAACCAAUACCACACCCUAAAUUUGGAACAUUCUUACCACCCCCAAAAGAAACCCUGUAGCAACUAGCCAUUCUCCUCCCUUGCCCCCCUUCUCCUGAGCCCCCAACACCCACUAAUCUGCUAUCUCUAUGGAUCUGCCAAUUCUGGACAUUUCAUAUCAUGGAAUCAUACAACAUGUAACUUUUUGAGCCUGGCUUCUUUUGGUUAGCAUAACAUUUUCAAGGUUCAGGUAGGUUGCUUCAAUCCUUUUUACAGCAGAAUAUUAUUCCACAGUAUGUCCACAGCACAUUCUGUUCAUCUGCUCAUCAAUUUGUGGGCAUCUGGGCUGUUUCCACUUUUUGGCUAUUAUGAAUAUUUCUAACAACACUGAUGUACACAUUUUUGUAUAUGUAGGAUUUCAUUUCUCUUGGCUACACACCAACCAGUAGAACUGCUGUGUCAGAUGGUAACUAUUUAAACUUUUGAGGAAAUUCCAAACUGUUUUCCAAAGUGGCUGAACCAUUUUACAUUUCCACCAGCAAUGUACAAGGGUUUCAAUUUCUCAACAUUUUCACCAACACCUGUUAUUGUCUGUCUUUUUGAUUAGAACCAUCCCAGUAGGUGCCAAGAGGUAUCUCAUUGUGACUUUGAUUUCCAUUUGCCUAGUGACUAAUGAUGCUGAGCAUCUUUCCAUGUUCUUAUUGGCCAUCUGUUUACCUUCCUUAGAGAACUCUCUAUACAGAUACUCUGCACAUUUCUAAACUGGGUUAUCUGUCUCUUUGGUGUUGGGUUUAAGAGUCCUUUAUAUACACUGGAUAUUAGAACCGGACCAGACAUAUCAUUUGCAAAUAUAUGUCCCAUUCUGUGGGCUGUCCUUCCACGUUCUGGUUGGUAUCCUUUAAGCACAAAAGCUUUUAAUUUUGAUGAAGUUCAGUUUAUCUCUUUUUUUCUUUUGCUGCUUAUGCUCUGGAGUCAUAUCUAAGAAAUCAUGCCCUAAUCCAAGAUCAUAAAGAUUUACUCUUGUGACUUUCUCUAAGAGUUUCAUAUAUUGAGCUUUUACAUUUAGACCUGCAUCCUCACAGACACUAAUGUUGGGUUCUUACCCUGCUGAGCCACAAUGAGAACUCCACAUUUAGGUUUAUGAGGUACAUGUAAUGUAGGGGUCCACGUGCAUUCUUGUGCACAGUGAUACCCUGUUGUCUUUGCAUCAUUUGUUAGAAGAACUAUUCCUUCCCCCAUAGAGUUGGUUUGGCACCCUUGUUGAAAAUUAAGUAACCGUAAGUGUAAGCGUUUAUUUCUGGAUUCCAAAACUCUAUUCCACUGAUCUAGGUGUCUACCUUUAUUCUAGGAUCACACUUACAUGAUUAGUAUAGCUUUGCAGUAGGUUUUAAAGUCAGGAAGUGUGAGUCCUCAAACUUUUUUUCAAAAGCUUCUUGGCUACUCUGGAUAACUCCCAUUUCCAUAUGACGUUGAGCCUCAAACUGUCAAUUUCUGCCAAAAAAAAGACAGCUGGGGUUCUGAUAAAGACUGGUUUGUAUCUGUACAACAACCUAGGAAUACUGUCAUCACAACAAUAUGAAUUCUUUGUCUGUGAACAUGAGAUAUCUCUCCACUUAUUUAGGUCUUCUUGGAUUUCUUUCAACAAUGUUUUGUAGUUUUAGAGUAUAAAUCUUAUACUUCUUUAAUAAAACUGACUGGUGUGCAUCAUGUCACUGUGCUUCUCUUUACUGUGUCUUUCCAAACUGAGGGUCUGGGGCAACCCUGCAUUGAGCAAGCCUAUCAGCACCAUUUCUCCACCUGCGUCAGCUCACUUCCUGUCUCUGUCUACGUUUUGGUAAUUUUUGCAGUAAUUUAAACUUUUCCAUUAUCAUUAUAUUUGUUAUGUUGGUCUGUGUAAGACCAUAUAAGACAGUGAAGCUAAUCGAUAAUAGUUGUGUGUGCUCUGACUAUCCCAAUGACCGCUGACUCUUUCCUCCUCCCCAGGCCGCCCUUGUUCCUGAGACAAAACAAUGACCGAAAUUAGGCCAAUGAAUAACUCCACAGUUGCUUCUAUGUGUUCAAGUGAAAGGAAGAGUCAAUACUCCAGCCUCCACAACCACCUUGAUCAGUCUGCAGCCACUGACAUCGGGGCAAGACCCUUCACAAGCAAAAAGAUUACAAUAUGCUGAAGGCUCAGAUGGUAGAAUUUUUUUUAGCAAUAAAGUAUUUUAAAAUUCAGGUAUGUACAUUUUUUUAGACAUAAUGCUACUGCACACUUAACAGACUACAGUAUAGUAUAAACGUAACUUUUAUAGGCAUUUGGAAACCGAAAUAUUCACAUGGCUCAUUUUAUUCUGGUAUUCACUUUAUCACGGUGGUCUGGAACCAAACCCACAAUAUCUCUGAGGUCUGCCUGUAUUACUAAAUAAUUUUUGAUGUUAAUGUAAAUGGAAUUAUUUGAAAAAAAUUUUUUUCUGGCCACACCCAUGGCAGGUGGACGCUCCCAGGCCAGGGAUCAAACUUGCACCACAGCAGUCAUCAGAGCCACAGCAGUGACAAUGUCAGAUCCUUAACUGCCCAAGCUACCAGGGAACUCCUAGAACUUUUGAUUAGUAUAAAUGUGAACUUGAGACUGCAGAAAGCCAAUGGGUGACUGUGUAGGAAACAAGGACGAAAGCCUAAGAGAAACCAAAAGUAAAACUAAAGGUAGAUUUCAAGGAGAUAACAUGUGAGGAUUCAGGCCAGCCUUCAACCUCCUUGAGGGCAGACUCAGUGUCUGUUGCUCAUUUAGCAUGGAGUAGGCCCUCAAGAAACAUUUGUUGAUGAAUAAAAUUCUUAACACUAACAAAGUGUUUACUCUGCGUUUCCUAUUUUAGGCCAUAAAUAGGCCUUAAGUAUGAGUUUCCUUGAGCCACAGAUUCGUUACAAUGGUGUGGAUUGCAGCUAUUACUGAUCAUAAUGGGAAAACAUAUUCACAGGCAAGAGAACGUUUGGUGAGGACCCCCCCACCAUUUAACAAGCUCCCUUACCGUUGGUCCAGCUAAGAAGUUGAAGAUGUCACAAGAUAAGGAAGAAAAUGGGAUAAGCCCUGAGCAUCCUGGAACCAGCACUGGUCCUCUUGACAAUGAUGUAGACAAUGCAGAAUGACACCCAAAGGGAAAACAAAGAAUGCUUCAGACGGGGCCAGAAGGGCAAAGAGGAGGAAGGACAAAGAAAGGGAGAGCAAGAAGAGCAAACCCCUCUCUUCUGCAAUAGGAAAAGUGGAAACUCAAGGCUAAAUAUGGUAUUUAUCAGUACUAUAAUAAUGGAUGAUCAAUUAAAAUCAUAAGCUUUCACUAAGGACUAGUGUACACUGUGCUGUGCUGGCACCAUGCUGAGGGGCCCAUGCACAUAGUCUCAUCAACCCCUUUGUGACAAUUCCGAGGCAAGUGUUAUUAUCGUUAGAGACGUUAGGAUAACUUGUCCAAGGCCUCAAUCUCCAGACAGCCACAAUUGGCAUUUAAACUCAGAUCACCUGACUCCAAAAUGCACCUAUCAUGCAGGGUGUGCACACAGAUAAAUUCAUACUGUACACACCUACUCACAAGUGCAGCAAACAUCUGCCACCCUAUACAGUUACUAACUCGAAUAUCCUCAUACUCAUUACUAAUUUGAUUCCAAACAGAAAUCAAAAGUUUACAAGGAGAUCACUGCCCUUACUCUUUUUAGGGGAACAAGACAAAUGAAAUGCCUAAUAGAAAGCUUGCAAAUACUGUGCCAUUAAAACCACACAUAUCAUAAAGCCCAAGAUCAUGUUGUUUCCUGGGGCCUGUGGGGGAAUACUGGGGUUACAUCCUGGAUCUGUCACAAACCAGAUAUGUAACUUUGAAAAUGUCCUUUUUCUUAUUAGUAAAUUUUCCUGCCCAAAUCUGCAAGGCCACUGCCAAUUCUAUGAUUCUACCAAUUUACUCUUCUUCUAAGCUUUCAAUGAUUAGGUCAUCAACUCUCAUUGUACGCAUACUUACACCGUCAUCAAACCCACUGGUCAAUUAUGGGUCUCAAUGCAGGGCAAAUGAGAAGAAGUAUAUGUGGGCACAUUGAAAAGUACCCUUGAUCAGAAUGCCAUUUCUCAAGAAAAGAAAAAGGAAGGGUGCGGGGGGUGCAGGUGGGGGAAUAGAUUUGCUUUGAUAAAGUGCAUCCUGAGCCUUUCUUCCCCUGCCUGCCUGGUCCAUAUUCUAAAUCACUUCCGUGCUUUCACAUAGUAAAUUUUCUGCUAGAUGUCUAGAUAUGCUGGAGAUCAGGUUACAGUGUGAAGGACAAAAGAUAAAAACAAUCUGCAUACUUCCAUCUGGCUCUUCAGAACAAAGUCUAGAAACUUGAAAUGUGAGGAGAGAAGCAUGCUCCUCGAGCUGCACAACAGAUACAGCAAAAUGUCACAGAAACAAAUCUUUCAAGAGAAUCAGAGAUGCUGGAAUGCGUAAUUAACUAACAUUUACUCUGAGGGCAUAAAAAAAAAAAAAAAAAAAAAAAG